AGCCUGAACGCUGGCGGCGUGGCUAAGACAUGCAAGUCGUACGGUGUAGCAAUACACAGUGGCGAACGGGUGAGUAAUGAAUCGCUAAUGUACCCCGGACUCUGGGAUAGCUGACCGAAAGGGCAGGUAAUACCAGAUGACAUAACCGAACCGCAUGGUUUGGUUCUCAAAGGUCCGCCGGUCUGGGUGCAGGCGAUUUUGUAUCAGCUAGUUGGUGAGGUAACGGCUCACCAAGGCGACGACGCAUAGCCGGACUGAGAGGUUGGCCGGCCACAUUGGGACUGAGACACUGCCCAGACUCCUACGGGGGGCUGCAGUAACGAAUCUUCCGCAAUGCACGAAAGUGUGACGGAGCGACGCCGCGUGUGGGACGAAGUCCUUCGGGAUGUAAACCACUGUCAGGGGUAAGAAGUUCUGAUCUACCCCAGAGGAAGGCACGGCUAACUCUGCGCCAGCAGCCGCGGUAA
rnacentral:rRNA from 1 species